AUUGAACGCUGGCGGCAGGCUUAACACAUGCAAGUCGAGCGGAAGCACGGAGCUUGCUCCUGGAUUCAGCGGCGGACGGGUGAGUAAUGCCUAGGAACAUGCCUGGUAGUGGGGGAUAACGUCCGGAAACAGGCGCUAAUACCGCAUACGUCCUGAGGGGGAAAGCGGGGGAUCUUAGGACCUCACGCUAUCAGAUGAGCCUAGGUCGGAUUAGCUAGUUGGUGGGGUAAAGGCCUACCAAGGCGACGAUCCGUAGCUGGUCUGAGAGGAUGAUCAGUCACACUGGAACUGAGACACGGUCCAGACUCCUACGGGAGGCAGCAGUGGGGAAUAUUGGACAAUGGGCGAAAGCCUGAUCCAGCCAUGCCGCGUGAGUGAAGAAGGUCUUCGGAUUGUAAAGCACUUUAAGUAGGAAGGAAAGGCAGUAAGUUAAUACCGUGCUGUUUUGACGUUACCAGCAGAAUAAGCACCGGCUAACUUCGUG
rnacentral:rRNA from 1 species